CGGCGGUGCAACCCCAAACCGCCGCCAAAAUUACACCCCAUAAUCCCCGGCAUCUCUUCUUCCUAAACCCCAAAAAUGAUUUCUCUCGAAUCCCUCUCAAUCCGCUCUUAUUUUGGAUCUAAAAUCAACACCCGAAACUUAAAGCUACAAAUUUACCCUGACCUCGGAUUUGUGGCGUGCAAAGUUAGGAUUCAAGCCUUCAAGUUCUAGUGCUGAUUUAACGUGAAAUUGAUGUUGUUCAUUGUUCUUGUCAAAGAACAUGCAACUAACAUUAGUUUUGGGUAAAUCGGAGCAACCGAAGUUUAUUUAAGUCAACUACUAGGAAUGUAAGUUGAAUCCCUAUGGCAUAUGAAUAAUACACGUGAAGCUUUAGAGUUUGUUGGUUGUUAAUAUUCAAUUGAUGCCUGUUUGCUUUGCUGGAGAUCGAUUCCAUGUUGUUGGAAUUUAUUGUACUCUGUUCCCCUCCCCAUUCUGUUUUGUAGUCUAUUAGAAGUAAGCUAAAAUUGGUCCAUGAUAGAUGUGUGUUUUGAGUUUAAACUACAUUGUAAGGGGUGGGAGGUGUUUGUGCCUCCUAAAUUGCUUUGGAAUUUUUUUUGAAGUUUCAAUCUGUUAAUACUAUGGUUUAUCAUAAGAUGUAUUUGAAGGUGAUAUGUGUAAUGGGAAAUGUUCUUUAGAAAGGAGUUGAAAGAUUACUGUUGUGGGGUAUAUGAAAUGUGGGUUCAAUAUGUUUAAAAUACAAUAUUCAGCAUGUAUAUGUU